AAAAUCGAAUAGGCAAAGCCGGAGACAGCAGGUGCUAAUAGCUUAAAUACCCUGCCGAGGUUAAAACUCUAAUUGUCAAAAUUACCACCCAUAAAGGCGUGAUAACUAUGGCAUCACGAGUCUUAAUACUCAACCCCGGCUAAUAUUAGCCGGGGUUUGUUGUUUGGGUU
rfam:Nostoc punctiforme PCC 73102, complete genome.